rnacentral:rRNA from 1 species
UCGAGAAUCUUCCCCAAUGGCCGAAAGGCUGAGGGAGCGACGCCGCGUGCAGGAAGACGCUCUUCGGAGUGUAAACUGCUUUUCUUGGGGAACAACUCUGAGUGUACCCAAGGAAUAAGGGGCUGCUAACUUCGUGCCAGCAGCAGCGGUAAUACGAAGGCCCCGAGCGUUAUCCGGAUUUAUUGGGCGUAAAGCGUUCAAAGGCGGUUUAGUACGUGCUUCGUCAAAUCCAGUGGCUCAACCACUGGACCGCGGGGCACACGGCUAGACUUGAGGGCGGAAGAGGCAAGCGGAACUACCGGUGUAGUGGUAAAAUGCGUUAAUAUCGGUAGGAACACCAAAGGCGAAGGCAGCUUGCUAGUACGUACCUGACGCUAAAGAACGAAAGCGUGGGGAGCGAAUGGGAUUAGAUACCCCCGUAGUCC